rnacentral:tRNA from 1 species
GCCUGGGUGGUUCAGUUGGUUAAGCGUCUGACUUUGGCUCAGGUCAUGAUCUCAGGGUUCGUGGGUUCAAGCCCCACCUCGGGCU